GAUGAACGCUGGCGGCGUGCCUAAUACAUGCAAGUCGAGCGAACAGACGAGGAGCUUGCUCCUCUGACGUUAGCGGCGGACGGGUGAGUAACACGUGGAUAACCUACCUAUAAGACUGGGAUAACUUCGGGAAACCGGAGCUAAUACCGGAUAAUAUAUUGAACCGCAUGGUUCAAUAGUGAAAGACGGUUUUGCUGUCACUUCUAGCUGGAUCCGCGCCGCAUUAGCUAGUUGGUAAGGUAACGGCUUACCAAGGCGACGAUGCGUAGCCGACCUGAGAGGGUGAUCGGCCACACUGGAACUGAGACACGGUCCAGACUCCUACGGGAGGCAGCAGUAGGGAAUCUGACGCAAUGGGCGAAAGCCUGACGGAGCAACGCCGCGUGAGUGAUGAAGGUCUUCGGAUCGUAAAACUCUGUUAUUAGGGAAGAACAAAUGUGUAAGUAACUAUGCACGUCUUGACGGUACCUAAUCAGAAAGCCACGGCUAACUACGUG
rnacentral:rRNA from 1 species